rnacentral:rRNA from 1 species
CACGCCCUAAACGAUGUCAACUAGCUGUUGGGGCCAAUAGGCCUUAGUAGCGCAGCUAACGCGUGAAGUUGACCGCCUGGGGAGUACGGUCGCAAGAUUAAAACUCAAAGGAAUUGACGGGGACCCGCACAAGCGGUGGAUGAUGUGGAUUAAUUCGAUGCAACGCGAAAAACCUUACCUACGCUUGACAUGUCUGGAAGAUCUAAGAGAUUGGAUUGUGCCCGCAAGGGAACCGGAACACAGGUGC